rfam:Oryza sativa Japonica Group DNA, chromosome 4, cultivar: Nipponbare, complete sequence.
AAUAAACGCAGCCAUGAGGUUUCGUGUCCAACUUUGACCGUUCGUCUUAUUAAAAAUUGUUUUAUGAUUAGUAUUUUUAUUGCUAUUAGAUUAUAAAAUAUGAAUAGUACUUUAUGUGCGACUUAUGUGUUUUAGAUUUUUCAAAAAAAAAUUAAAUAAAACGAAUGGUCAAAGUUAGAUACGGAAACUUAUGGCUGCGCUUAUU